GACGAACGCUGGCGGCGUGCUUAACACAUGCAAGUCGAGCGGUAAGGCCCUUUCGGGGGUACACGAGCGGCGAACGGGUGAGUAACACGUGGGUGACCUGCCUUUAGCUCUGGGAUAAGCCUGGGAAACUGGGUCUAAUACCGGAUAUGACCCUAUGGCGCAUGUUGUGGGGUGGAAAGCCUUGUGCGGCUAGGGAUGGGCCCGCGGCCUAUCAGCUUGUUGGUGGGGUGAUGGCCUACCAAGGCGACGGCGGGUAGCCGGCCUGAGAGGGCGACCGGCCACACUGGGACUGAGACACGGCCCAGACUCCUACGGGAGGCAGCAGUGGGGAAUCUUGCGCAAUGGGCGAAAGCCUGACGCAGCGACGCCGCGUGAGGGAUGACGGCCU
rnacentral:rRNA from 1 species